AUAUGCUUGUCUGAAAGACUAAGCCAUGCUGUGCAAGUUCAACUAUAACGAAAGUGAAACCGCGAAUGGCUCAUUAAAUCAGUUACUAUCUAUUGGCUUAAUACCURAUUAUAUGAAUAACUGCGGUAACUCUGCAGCUAAUGCAUGCAAAUUGCUGGAUGACCUCCACAACUUUUACUCGAAAUCGCCGGGUGGAUUAGGUGCGGGCGAAAGACCGUUUAGGUCAUGUCAACGAUGAAUCAAAGUAACUGAAAGAUCCCACAUGGCGCAUCGGCGGGGGACGAAGCUUCCGAAUUUCUGACCUAUCAACCUAUGACGGUAGUGUAACGGACUACCGUGGUUGUGACGGGUAACGGGGAAUCAGGGUUCGAUUCCGGAGAGGGAGCCUUAGAAACGGCUACCACAUCCAAGGAAGGCUGCAGGCACGCAAAUUACCCAAUCCCAGUUCGGGGAGGUAGUGACGAGAAAUAACAAUAUGAACCUUAAUGGUUUGUAAUUGGAAUGGAAGUGAACUAAAAAUUCACUUGAUGAUCUAGUGGAGGGCAAGUCUGGUGCCACCAGCCGCGGUAAUACCAGCCUCCACAAGCGUAUGCAAAAGUUGCUGCGUUUAAAAAGCUCAUAGUUGGAUCUGUUUCCAGUGUUACGGUAACCUAGUUGGUUGCUUCGGUAUACCUUCUAGCGUAAUGCUUAACCUUCGCAUUGAAUAAAUAGUUUGCACUUUACUGUGUCGAACUGUGGAAACGGUGUUUUCUCUUUGAGUAAAUUAGAGUGUUCAAAGCGUCCUUUGGGAUUGAAUAAUAAAGCAUGGAAUAAUGGAGAAUGACCCGCUUUGUCAAAUAGCCGGGGGUCACUAUGCGGUAAUCAUUAAAAGGCACAGUCGGGGGCUAUUUGUAUUGGUACGUUAGAGGUAAAUUCUUGAAUGUUUUCAUUAAUAAAGACGAAAGUUAGAGUAUUGAAGAGGAUUAUGAUACCCUCGUAAUUCUAACCAUAAACUAUACCAACUUACGAUUUGUCAAAGUCCAAUAUGACUUGGCAAGAAAUUAACCGGGAAACCAAAGUUUAUUGGUUCCGGGGGAAGUAUGGUUGCAAAAUCGAAACUUAAAGGAAUUGACGGAAGGGCACCACCAGGAGUGGAGCCUGCGGCUUAAUUUGACUCAACACGGGAAAACUCACCAGGUCCAGACAUUUUAAGGAUUGACAGAUUGAAUAUCUUUCACGAUUAUAUGGGCGGUGGUGCAUGGCCGUUCUUAGUUAGUGGAGUGAUCUGUCUGGUUAAUUCCGAUAACGAACGAGAUCUCACCCAUUUAAAUAAUACAUGUCACUUUAUGUGGCAAAGUGUUCCUUAAAGGAACCAUGCGGGAUAUAAUACCGCAAGUGAAGUGAGGCUAUAACAGGUCUGUGAUGCCCUUAGAUGUCCUGGACCGCACGCGCGCUACACUGUACACUACAGAAUGAACGUGUAUCCUUGACCGAUAAGGUCCGGGUAAUCACGAAAAAGUGUUGUGAUCAUAACGGGGAUCGGCUCUUGUAAUUAGUAGCCGUGAACCAGGAAUUCCUCGUAAUCUGAAGUCAACAACUUCAAAUGAUUACGUCCCUGCCCUUUGUACACACCGCCCGUCGCUACUACUGAUUGGACGAUUAAGCAAGAACUUCGGAACCUCGCUAUCAAAACUUCGGUUGAGAUAAUGAGGGAAGAGGAUCAAGCUUUUUGUCUAGAGGAAGUAAAAGUCGUAACAR
rnacentral:rRNA from 1 species